rnacentral:rRNA from 1 species
UAAUACGGGGGGUGCAAGCGUUAUUCGGAAUUAUUGGGCGUAAAGGGCGCGCAGGCGGCCUGUUAAGUCAGAUGUGAAAGCCCGGGGCUUAACCCCGGAAGUGCAUUUGAUACUGGCAGGCUUGAGUAUGGGAGAGGGAAGUGGAAUUCCUGGUGUAGCGGUGAAAUGCGUAGAUAUCAGGAGGAACACCGGUGGCGAAGGCGACUUCCUGGGCCAAUACUGACGCUGAGGCGCGAAGGCGUGGGUAGCAAACAGGAUUAGAUACCCUGGUAGUCCACGCAGUAAACGGUGAUCACUAGGUGUAGCGGGUAUUGACCCCUGCUGUGCCGGAGUUAACGCAUUAAGUGAUCCGCCUGGGGAGUACGAUCGCAAGGUUA